ACGCACCCACGGAGGACGCAGAUAUUUUCCCUCCCAACAAACAAUAAAUUGCUGAGACACCCUCUCCUUCCCCCAAAUUCCCACAUAGCAAAUAUCUCCGGUAUCUUCUACCGGGAAAAACCAAAGCAAUUUCCGGCAAAACAAAACUCAGAGAACUGCGAAAGCAAACAGAUAUUUCCUUUUCUUCCUUGAAAGAAAGUUGCCUCCUUUUGUUUUGAAACCCUAAACAGUUCCUCUUUUUUCCUAUUAUCAUCACCCGCGGAAGCACCAAAGGAUCGUACCACCGACGAUGAACCACUACGACAAUCGCUACGCCGACCCCAGUUCCUAUCGUGAGCGUCGAAGUGACCUGAUAGGGCCACCGCCUCCUGUGGGUCCUCCGGUGAUAGGCGGCUAUGGCCGCGGUGGGCCCGUCCCGUACGGGGGUCCCCCUCCUCCGGCUUAUGGAAGAGGUGGUGGGUCGGCACAACCUGCCGGGGCCGGUAAUUUCAAUGGGUAUCCGCCGUUUGAGCCGCCCGUUGGCCGAUUCGAUAUUGGCCGAGGCGGUGGAAGAACGGGGAAUGGACAUGUGGGAGUUGGGGAUAGGAGAGUGGGCAGUGUAGGCCGUGGUGGUGCUGGUGGAAGGGGCUUUGAUUUGGGGCGUGGCGGUGGUAGACUAGGUACAAGCCGUGAUGGUGGUGUCAGGAGUAAGAUUGGUGGUGGAGGGCGUGGUGGGAAUGCGGGUUUUGGCGGUGGACGAGGUGGUGGGAGGGGAUUUGAGGGGCGUGGUGGUGGUGGUGGAAGAGGAGGUAGACAUGGUGGUGGGGGGUCGAGAGGGGAUUUGGACAACAUUGCUUUGCCCAAGCAGGAUUUUGGGAAUUUGGUCCAUUUUGAGAAGAAUUUUUAUGUUGAGACUCCUUCGGUGCGGGCGAUGAGUGAGCACGAAGCUUUGGCUUAUCGGACGAGAAGGGAGAUCAUGGUUGAAGGGCAUGAUAUCCCAAAGCCAAUUAGGGUGUUUCAUGAAGCUAAUUUCCCUGAUUACUGCCUUGAGGUGAUUGCAAAACUGGGUUUUGUUGAGCCAACAGCAAUUCAGGCUCAAGGAUGGCCAAUGGCUCUCAAGGGUAGGGAUUUAAUUGGUAUUGCUGAGACUGGUUCUGGUAAGACUUUGGCAUAUCUGCUUCCUGCUUUGGUACAUGUUAGCGCACAGCCUCGAUUGGGACAAGGUGAAGGUCCCAUUGUACUGGUGUUAGCACCCACUAGAGAAUUAGCAGUUCAAAUUCAAGAAGAAGCUGUAAAAUUUGCGUCACGUGCUAAUAUUAGAAGUACUUGCAUAUAUGGUGGUGCUCCUAAAGGGCCUCAAAUUCGUGAUCUUAAAAGAGGCGUGGAGAUUGUCAUUGCUACACCUGGUCGACUGAUAGAUAUGUUGGAAGCCCAACACACAAACUUGCGAAGAGUGACUUACCUUGUGUUAGAUGAGGCUGAUAGAAUGUUGGACAUGGGAUUUGAGCCUCAAAUUAGGAAAAUUGUUGCCCAGAUCCGGCCAGAUAGACAGACAUUGUAUUGGAGUGCCACAUGGCCAAGGGAGGUUGAAAGUCUUGCAAGGCAGUUUUUACGCAAUGCAUAUAAGGUAAUUAUUGGAUCACCAUAUCUGAAAGCAAACCAAUCUAUACUUCAAGUUGUUGAAGUUGUGACAGAGGUGGAGAAAUAUAAUAGGCUGAUCAAACUGCUUAAAGAAAGCAUGGACGGGAGCCGAAUUCUAAUAUUCAUGGAGACAAAAAAAGGAUGUGACCAAGUCACAAGGCAAUUGAGAAUUGAUGGGUGGCCAGCUCUAUCCAUCCAUGGCGAUAAAAGCCAGGCUGAAAGGGACUGGGUCCUUGCUGAGUUUAAAACUGGCAGAAGUCCUAUAAUGACUGCCACUGAUGUUGCUGCACGGGGUCUUGGUAGGAUCACUGUGUGUUAGGAGUCUUAGGUUUUUGCAUCUAGGUCUUGAAAUUCCAGAAUAGGCGAGUUGGCCGGCUGCUGUCCAGUAUCCUGAGAAUAUAAUUGUGGUUUGGGUGCGAAGGGAGGGGCCAUGACAGCGACUGCUAAAAUUUUAUUUGCACAUGAGUAUUAUAUUUCAACUUUGUUAAGGGAUUUAUUAUUUAUGAGUUGAAUGGAGGUGUGAGAUUUCCCAUACUAGGAUGUUCCUCAACAGAACUCCAUUUGGGUAUUAUCUUAUUCAUACAGCUCAUGUUACAUGGACACUAGGAGCAUAGUUUUGCUGAUAUUGCUUGGAUAAUAGUUGAGUAAAUUUUUUAGGCUAUGCCAUUAACAUUGUGGAAGCCAAAUUGAUAAUAAUAAGUUAGGAAGUAGAGCUGGCUUUUAUGAGGUUGGCUACUGACUUGGUAUUGCUCCUAUCAUCAAGUGUCCAAUUAACAUAGUUAAAGUUGUCGCAGCCCAUCCACGGUUAUGGAGCUGGUCGUUGUCGCAGCCUGGUUGACUCACACAUGCUUAUACAUUGAUUGAAUAUGGAAGUGGUGGUGGUGAAGCUGCUCCUUAUCCCUGCAAGGUUAAGAUGUGAAGGACAUAAAAUGUGUGAUCAAUUAUGAUUUUCCAUCAAGCCUUGAAGAUUAUGUCCACAGAAUUGGCCGAACUGGUAGGGCAG